rnacentral:rRNA from 1 species
AGAGUUUGAUCAUGGCUCAGGAUGAACGCUGGCGGCGUGCCUAACACAUGCAAGUCGAACGUGAGGGCAGAGACAAGCGCUUCGGUGUGAGUUUUUGUCUGAAAGUGGCGGACGGGUGAGUAACACGUGGGUAACCUGCCUUGGAGUGGGGGAUAACCAUUGGAAACGAUGGCUAAUACCGCAUGGGUCUGCGAUUACGGGAGUGAUUGCGGGUAAAGCUCAGGCGCUUCAAGAGGGGCCUGCGGCCGAUUAGUUAGUUGGCGGGGUAACGGCCCACCAAGGCUGAGAUCGGUAGCUGGUCUGAGAGGACGAUCAGCCACACGGGAACUGAGAGACGGUCCCGACUCCUACGGGGGGCAGCAGUGAGGAAUAUUGCACAAUGGGGGCAACCCUGAUGCAGCAACGCCGCGUGGAGGAUGAAGGUCUUUGGAUUGUAAACUCCUUUUUCUGGGGAAGAGAACGGACGGUACCCGGAGAAUAAGUCACGGCUAACUACGUGCCAGCAGCCGCGGUAAUACGUAGGUGGCGAGCGUUAUCCGGAAUUACUGGGCGUAAAGGGCACGCAGGCGGCCAUUCAAGUCUGACGUGAAAGCUCCUGGCUUAACUGGGAGAGGUCGUUGGAGACUGAGUGGCUUGAGGCGAUGAGAGGGGUGCGGAAUUCCCGGUGUAGUGGUGGAAUGCGUAGAUAUCGGGAGGAACACCAGUGGCGAAAGCGGCGCCCUAGCAUUGGCCUGACGCUCAUGUGCGAAAGCGUGGGGAGCGAACGGGAUUAGAUACCCCGGUAGUCCACGCUGUAAACGAUGAGCACUAGGUGUAGGCGGUGUCAAAGCUGUCUGUGCCGAAGCAAACGCGAUAAGUGCUCCGCCUGGGGAGUACGGCCGCAAGGCUAAAACUCAAAUGAAUUGACGG